rnacentral:lncRNA from 1 species
CUCCAGAUCAGAGGCAGUUGGGAUGACCAGGGAUGUUCUCUGUUUAGUGAGUCCUCCAGAUCAGAGGCAGUAGGGAUGACCAGGGAUGUUCUCUGUUUAGUGAGUCCUCCAGAUCAGAGGCAGUAGGGAUGACCAGGGAUGUUCUCUGUUUAGUGAGUCCUCCAGAUCAGAGGCAGUAGGGAGGACCAGGGAUGUUCUCUGUUUAGUGAGUCCUCCAGAUCAGAGGCAGUAGGGAUGACCAGGGAUGUUCUCUGUUUAGUGAGUCCUCCAGAUCAGAGGCAGUAGGGAUGACCAGGGAUGUUCUCUGUUUAGUGAGUCCUCCAGAUCAGAGGCAGUAGGGAUGACCAGGGAUGUUCUCUGUUUAGUGAGUCCUCCAGAUCAGAGACAGUAGAGAUUACCAGGGAUGUUCUCUGUUUAGUGAGUCCUCCAGAUCAGAGACAGUAGGGACGACCAGGGAUGUUCUCUUGAUUAUUGCGUGAAUUGGACCAUUUCCUGUCCUGCUAAGCAUUUAAAAUGUAACGAGUACUUUUGGGUGUCAGGGAAAAUGCAUGGAGUAAAAAGUACAUUAUUUUAUUUAGGAAUGUAGUGAAGUAAAAGUAGUCAAACAUAUAAAUAGUAAAGUACAGAUACCCCAAAAAACGAAUUAAGUAGUAAUUGAAAGUAUUUUUACUGAAGUACUUUACACCACUGCCCCAUACCAUAACCCCACCGCCAACAUGCGGCACUCUGUUCACAACGAUGACAUCAUCAAACCGCUCACCCACACAACGCCAUGCACGUGAUCUGCAGUUGUGAGGCCUGUUGGACGUAACGCCAAAUUCUCUAAACUACUUUAGAGGCGGCUUAUGGUAGAGAAAUUAUCAUUUAAUUAUCUGGCAAAAGCUCUGGUGGACAUUCCUGCAGUCAGCAUGCCAAUUUCACGCUCCCUCAAAACUUGAGACAUCUGUUCCAUUGUGUUGUGUGACAAAACUGCACAUUGUAGAGGGGACUUUUAUUGUCCCCGGCACAAGGUUCACCUGUGUAAUAAUCAUGCUGUUUAAUCAUUUUAUUGAUAUGCCACACCUGUCACACCUGUCAGUUAGAUGGAUUAUCUUGGCAAAGGAGAAGUGCUCACUGACAUGGACGACAAACAUGGACAUGGACGUCAAACAUUUGAGAGACAAACAUUUGAGAGAAAAAAGCUUUUUUGUGCGCAUGGAACAUUUCUGGGAUCUUUUAUUUCAGCUCAUGAAACAUG